rnacentral:snRNA from 1 species
AAAUUUACCUGGAAGGAGCAACAUCUUGAUCGCAAAGGAAGUUUUCCUGUGUGAGACUUAUCUGUUGUACUCUGGAUAUGUUGCCCUCUUCAGUUUCCCCAAAUAUGGAAAGCUUACUUCCCUUC